UAAUGUAGACAGAAAAAGGGAAGCCCCGCUAGAACAGGACUUCCCGUGCAAGCCGCUUCAAAGGCGGUGGCAAGUUAUUCAAACGAUAAUUUU
rnacentral:sRNA from 1 species